AUUAUCGCAUUGAUUAGGAGUAGUAAUAUUUUAUUUAUUUUCAGAGAGCUGCAGCUUGGUGUGAUGCAGUAUUAAAUUGAUAUGAACUUGCCUCGGAGCUUACUUGCCAAAAGCAAGUACGGUUUAAACCGUUAUAUUUUUAAGUGUAGAUUCUAUGAAUCUAAUUAGAGUGGUACCGCGGAACUAUGGCUUUCGUCUCUUCA
rnacentral:ncRNA from 1 species